rnacentral:rRNA from 1 species
GACGAACGCUGGCGGCGUGCUUAACACAUGCAAGUCGAACGGAAAGGCCCUGCGUUUGUGGGGUGCUCGAGUGGCGAACGGGUGAGUAACACGUGAGUAACCUGCCCUUGACUUUGGGAUAACUUCAGGAAACUGGGGCUAAUACCGGAUAGGAGCCCCCGCUGCAUGGUGGGGGUUGGAAAUUUUCGGCGGUUGGGGAUGGACUCGCGGGUGAUCAGCUUGUUGGUGGGGUAGUGGCUUACCAAGGCUUUGACGGGUAGCCGGCCUGAGAGGGUGACCGGCGACAUUGGGACUGAGAUACGGCCCAGACUCCUACGGGAGGCAGCAGUGGGGAAUAUUGCACAAUGGGCGGAAGUCUGAUGCAGCAACGCCGCGUGCGGGAUGACGGCCUUCGGGUUGUAAACCGCUUUCGCCUGUGACGAAGCGUGAGUGACGGUAAUGGGUAAAGAAGCACCGGCUAACUACGUG